rnacentral:rRNA from 1 species
GAGUUUGGAAUCAUACGCUAUUAGGCGGAUGACUUGGCUCCAGUCGCUGAAGAAGGACGUGACAAGCAACGAUAUGCCAUGGGAAGGCGCAUGUAGCCAUUGAACCAUGGAUUUCCUAAUGUGACUUCACCUAGCACUCCGUAAGGAGGGGGAACUCGGGGAAUUGAAACGUCUUAGUACCCGUAGGAAAAGAAAUCAAUUGAGAUGCUGCCAGUAAGAGCGACUGAACACAGCAGAGGGCAAACUGAAUCCUGCCAGCAAUGGUAAGGAGAUGUGGUGUUUUAAGACCUUCUUUUAAUCCUUGAGCCUGACCAGAAGUUUUCUGGAAAGGAAUGCCAUAGAGGGUGAUAGCCCCGUAAGGGAAAGGCAAGAGGAUGUGAAGAGUUCUUGAGUACUGCUUAUCGGAUAUUAAGCAGGAAUUUGGGAGGUAUUAACUUCCAACCCUAAAUACGUCUGGAGACCGAUAGAGGAUAAGUACCGUGAGGGAAAGUUGAAAAGAACCCUUAACAGGGAGUAAAAAGAUCCUGAAACCUAAUAGCUAUUUUAGAGAUAGGGCGCUAAGGCGUUCUAUCGUUCGUUUCGAAUAACGUGCCAGGGAGUGCAUUUAAGUGGCGAGGGUAAUUCCAAAAGAAGGACCCGAAGCGAAAGCGACAUGCCCGCAAGCAAUUAGGGGCGGCGUAUGAAAAUGCGUGGAGUCACUUAGGUGCGACCCGAAGCCUGACGAUCUAGCCCUUGGUAGGGUGAAGUGCGGGUAAAACCGUGUGGAGGCCCGAAGAGGUUCUACGUGCAAGUGUUCUUCUAACCUGGGGCUAGGGGUGAAAAGCCAAUCGAGUCAGGCGAUAGCUGGUUCCUACCGAAGUUGGCCGCAGUCAAGUGCCAAAGGAGAUAGCUUGAAUGGUAGAGAUACGGAUCAGGGAUUUAGGUCUCGAAAGGGAUCGGUUCCUUGUCCAACUCCGAAUGUUCAAGCGUCGUAGAUAUUGGUAAACGGGGGUCCGGGGUAAGCUUGGGCCUCGAAAGGGGAACAGCCCAGACUGCAGUUAAGGCCCCAAAAUGCUGAUUGAGUGUUAAAGGGUAAAAGGUGUUUAUUCUCCAAGACAGCGAGGAGGUUGGCUUAGAAGCAGCCACCCUUUAAAAAGUGUGUAACAACUUACUCGUCAAGAGAAUAAGCCCUGAAAAUGGACGGGGCUAAAUCAGCUGCCGAUACUGCAGACGUUCAACAAGAACAGUGGUAGGUAUGGCGACUUGUGAGGGUAGAAGUGUCCUCGAAAGAGGGCAUGGACCUUGUAAGUAUGAGAAUCCUGGCGGUAGUAAGAUCUGAGCAGAGUGAGAGUCUCUGCCACCGAAAGGGCAAGGGUUCCUUGACAAUGUAGAUCAGUCAAGGGUAAGUUGGUCCUAACUGUGCCCAGAAAAUGGAGCACGGGAAAGGGAAACAGGUUAAUAUUCCUGUACUAUGCGCGUACACGCGGUAACGCAGGCCUUGUUUCUGACGCUUUGGGCUAGGCUGACACAAAUAGUCGUUUGUGUUAAUCAGCAUAUAUCAGGGGAGUAUCGUAACGAUGAGAACCUGAUUAAAGCUGAGAACAGCAGUGCUUUGCAUUGUUCAGCUAAUGCCUGGAGCUCGUAAAAAAGGAACAGGGAUGGAUCGUGCAUAACCAUACCCAGAACCAGCACUGGUGCCCCUUGGUGAGAAGCCUAAGGUGUGAUGGAUUAAUCCGUUCGAGGGAACUCGGCAUAUUGGCCCCGUAUCUUUGGUAUAAGGGGUCCCUGCUUUUGUGUAUUAUGUAUGCGAACGCAGGGUUCAAUAACUAGGAUGGUCGGACUGUUUAACAAAAACUUAACCUUGUGCGAAGCUGUAAAGCUGUGUAUACAAGGUGACGUCUGCCCAGUGCCAGUACUUCAAACCCGGGUUCAACCGGGCUAAGAGCUGGUAAACGGCGGGAGUAACUAUAACUCUCUUAAGGUAGCGUAAUACCUUGCCGAUUGAAUGUCGGCUUGCAUGAGUGGCGUAACUAGAUCAUCACUGUCCCCGGACGGACUCCACCGAACUCCAUGUCUGGUGCAAAUUCCAGAGAUUUCCAGUGGGAAGCGAAGACCCCGUGAAACUUUACUGUAGCCUGUAGCUGCAACGUGAACCCUGAUGUGUAGGGUAGCUAGUAGUCGCUAAAGCGUAGUCGCUAGAUUACGUGUAGACGCAAAUGAAACACUAGUCUUUAGGGUUUACGCUGCUAACCUCGAAAGAGGGACAGCUAUUGGUGGACAGUUUGGCUGGGGUGGCACGCUGUUGAAAUGGUAUCAACAGCGCCCAAAGUUCGGCUCAGAUGGGUCAGAAAUCCAUCGUAGAGUGUAAGGGCAAAAGCCGGACUGAUAGGAAUGUGAACAAUAAGCAAUCCUAACACGAAAGUGAAAAGUUACUCCGGGGAUAACAGAGUUGUCGCGCCCGAGAGCUCAUAUCGACGGCGCGGCUUGCUACAUCGAUGUCGGCUCUUCCUAUCCUGGCCGUGCAGAAGCGGCCAAGGGUGGGGGUGUUCACCCGUUAAAAGGGAUCGUGAGCUGGGUUCAGAACGUUGUGAGACAGUUUGUUUGAUAUCUACUGGAAAUGUUGGUGUCUGAGCGGAAGGAGUAUCUAGUACGAGAGGAACGGUACUUCGAAGCCUCUGGUAGACCGGUUGUCUGACAAGGCAUGCCGGGCAGCUACGCUUUACGGGAUAAGGGCUGAAAGCAUCUAAGCCCGAAACCCCCCGUGAAAAUAGACACCGUAGAACAUGAGUACAACACUCGCUUGAUGGGACAGAUGUGUAAGCACCAAGGUAACGAGGUGUUCAGCAUGCUGUUACCAAUAGUUCAUACCUUCCAAUACU